AGGGAAUCUUCGGCAAUGGACGCAAGUCUGACCGAGCAACGCCGCGUGAGUGAAGAAGGUUUUCGGAUCGUAAAACUCUGUUGUUAGAGAAGAACAAGGAUGAGAGUGGAAAGUUCAUCCCUUGACGGUAUCUAACCAGAAAGCCACGGCUAACUACGUGCCAGCAGCCGCGGUAAUACGUAGGUGGCAAGCGUUGUCCGGGUUUAUUGGGCGUAAAGCGAGCGCAGGCGGUCUUUUAAGUCUGAUGUGAAAGCCCCCGGCUUAACCGGGGAGGGUCAUUGGAAACUGGGAGACUUGAGUGCAGAAGAGGAAAGCGGAAUUCCAUGUGUAGCGGUGAAAUGCGUAGAUAUAUGGAGGAACAUCAGUGGCGAAGGCGGCUUUCUGGACUGUAACUGACGCUGAGGCAUGAAAGCGUGGGGAGCAAAC
rnacentral:rRNA from 1 species